rnacentral:tRNA from 1 species
GCCGGUAUAGCUCAGUGGUAGAGCAGUCCCUUCGUAAGGGAAAGGCCACAGGUUCAAAUCCUGUUACCGGCUCCA